rnacentral:rRNA from 1 species
UACGUAGGGUGCGAGCGUUAAUCGGAAUUACUGGGCGUAAAGCGUGCGCAGGCGGUCUGUUAAGACCGAUGUGAAAUCCCCGGGCUUAACCUGGGAACUGCAUUGGUGACUGGCAGGCUUUGAGUGUGGCAGAGGGAGGUAGAAUUCCACGUGUAGCAGUGAAAUGCGUAGAGAAUGUGGAGGAAUACCGGAUGGCGAAGGGCAGCCUCCUGGGCCAACACUGACGCUCAUGACACGAAGCGUGGGGAGCAAACAGGA